AAAAAGGCUCUCCCUAUUAUUAUAGAAAAAGCUCUCCUUAUUAUUAUAUUUGUAUUAAAUUAGAAAUAUGUCAGUUCUGACAGAAGCUCUAAGUGCGGCGGUGAUUCGUGCUGGUCGAUAUGCAGUUAGCUUUCUGAGAGAAACGACUCUAGGAGCCCAAUCGUCUUUGGAGGUAUUGUGAGUGUCUCUAUUUUUCACACGCUUUCCGAAAGUCUCGCAACAUCCCGCGUGCAUGGAUCAUGCUAUCCUGGACGGGAAAACCAGUUGGUAAUUGUUUUAUAAAAUUACUACAGUGAAACGACGGUUAACUUGAUUAAAAUUACUGAUGAAAUGCGCAGUUCUCACAACAAUCGCCAAUUAACCAAUCGGAGAAUCGCUACUCCACGCUAUUGAAAACAACAACAAAUGCGAACAGAAUUUGAUCGCAAAUUCGCGAAAAUAUACAGCGAAAAUACAGAGAUUUUUUCGAUAAAAUUUACGAAAUUUGAAAUGGAAAACCCGUUAAACAGAGAGCCAAAGUAGUUACGAAAAGAUUCUCGACCUGAAUACUUGAAGAUUGCGAAGCGUUUGAACUUCGAAGCGACUAGCGAGAGAUGUUGUACUUGCCAUGGUCUGAUGAAUUUCAACGCCAUGCGUUGCUACUUGCUUGAACAGGAAUGUAUCGAUCAGAAAUUUAUUCAUGCAACUAAACCAACGUCUCAAUAAUUGGAAACUUACUUCAAAGUCGAAAGGUAUCGUACAAUGAAACUUUACAAUGCGAGUAUAUUUGUAAAAUUAUGUGCAAGAAUUUCUUUUCAGAAUUUCCCAUGCAGGAUUGUGUGAUCCUGCACGGCUGUUGACCAAUCAAAUUGCGUGUUUCACUGUAGUUAUUUUAUGAUUAAAGAUCUCCGUUAACAUUCCCGCGCACACUAAUGCAUGGUCACGCGGGUUUUCUUCAUACAGCAAAGAUUUGCCUUUGCGAUUCUUGUAGUGUAUCAGGUUAAUAUAUCGAGCCACCUUAACUUAAAAAUAUAUGUUUAUAUGUCCUAAAUGCGAACCAGCAUGUUCGUACCUAUAUCGUGCGAACUCAAAAGUUCUGAAACAUUCAAUAUCUAAAUGUGGAUUGGUCAGAGACCCCAGGAUAAUUAACAAUUAGACAACGAAGCCGAGUUGUCUAUGAGCGAAUAGUCAACGAGGCGAAGCCGAGUUGACUAUUCGUUCGGAGACAACGAGACUGAGUUGUCUAAUUGUUUUAGUAUAAACCACAUAAAGAAAACGGAAUUUUUCACUUGAGUUUUAUGUAAAAUAAUAACGUUUUAACGAAAUGAGCGUUUAAGGUAAUUCCGCAGUAAUUGUUCCCGAAAUGAGAAUGUGCUGAAUCUUCCCAGGCAUGGAGUUUAUGAUAUACUUAAAGUAAAAUCACACAUGAAAGUCGGGGUCACCGAACUCGUUAAGAAGAUAUGACAAUCACAAUAUACAACCUUUACCCCAAUAUGGCGCCGUCUUGACGCUUAUUACGAGUAACAGCAAACUCACAGCAGCCCGAUAUUUAUUGACGUUUUUAGCGCGGAUUUUGCUUUAGUAAACCUAUCUUGUAAUUAUUCUUGAAAAAAUAUUGUGCACAUUUCCUUACAUAUCUUUCUUUGAGAACAUGCAUUGAUAAAGCAUUUUUUUUCAAGAUCCAGAAAUCGAUUUUUUAUUUAAUUUCGGAUAUGAAACGUAAAAACAUUGAUUUUUUGAAAACAUUGAUUUUAACGUAAUUCUUUGCACGAAUGUAACUAAAGAUGUUUUGAAGUGACAUAAAAUUGUCAUAAAAUGAUAUUUUGCAUGUUUUAAAGGGUACGUAUAAUGGAUGAAAUUAUAAGUUAUAAGGUGUGCGCAGUAAACGUGCGCAAUGCAAAACUGCGGAAUUACCUUAAAUGGCUUCUUUGGCUUUGGCGACAUUUCGCCUCGGCUUUGUUGACAACUACUCAGUGUUGCGAACUCCCAAGAAUAAAACAGUAUAAUAGUAAGAGACCGUUAUAGAAGCAAAGUUUGGUUAAUUAAAACUUAUUUAAAAGAAGGAAACAAGGCUUAAAAAGUCCAAAAUUUCGAACACAAAAUGGCUUCCCGAAUUGUUACUAAAUUAGUGAAUAAAGUUUACGUCGUUGAAAAGCCGAAUAAAAAUGCACACAUAUCCAAAAGAAUCCGAUUAUCCGAAUGUCUCUGAAAUCUUUAACAUAUCUGGAACAUAAAGAGGCAAACCAUUUCCAUAAUCUAGUAUACAUAGACAAUAGUUUAGAUUAAAAUUUAAUCGAAAAACUCGACUUAAAAAGGCUCGAAAAGGCGAAAAACAAACUCGGCCAAAAUCUCAACAUUUAAACGAAAAAAACUCUUUAAAAUGACAACUAAAUACAUGAACUCGUACUUAAAACAAGCACACACUAAAGAGGUUGAGAAAAUAGGGUUAAAUAGCUACAAAGAAUUGUUGAAUUUCAACGAUUCUGCUUGGAAUAUUAACAAACAUUCUGCACAUUUUAAAAAAUCGCCUGUCACUUUCAUGUUCAAAACUACGAGCAAAGUUGAGAAAACUUAAAAUGUUUACCGCAUGUGUCAGCAGUUUCCAAGAGUCUUUGUUUGUGUGUAAUCCAGAACCAAAAUUAGGCCAUUUUGAUAAGCUUUUUCCCUUUAAAUAACGCUUUUAAUACUUAAAAACGGCCAUUGACUCUCGCGCCCUUCGCCGCUGUUGCUACUAGUAGGCUAUCACUAAUAGCCUACUAGUAGCGUAGCCAAUCAGAACGCACGAAACAUGAUAGCCUACUAGUAGGUUUAUACUAAUUCUCAAUAUUCGAUACUUAUUACGUAAUUUCAGCUGCGGACGUGCUCAGCGUCCAAUAAUACUUUUUUGGAUCGAACUUGCAUCCUAAAAAAGAUAUUGGACGCUGUCGUGCCCAAGCCCCGGCGCGGCCAACAACUCAAACCCAAAAGCGCGCGAAAAUAAAAUAAAUAUACUUGAAAUAUUAAUAAACUUCGUUUAAUCGUUUUAUACGUUUCUGAUGUAUUUAAAUGUAUAAUAGAACAAUUAUUGGAUUCGGCUUUCGCAUGACAUCAAGAAUUAUUCAGACCUCGGCCAAUGUUAUCCGCCUCGGUCUGAAUAAUUCUUGAUGUCAUGCUCAGCCUAAUCCAAUAAUUGUUUAUUAUGUCAAUUAUUGCACUUGGUAUACUACUUAAUUUCCCUGCGUCUGCAUGGGAAGUAACAUUGCUGUGUCGUUCGUUUAGAAAGCAAAGGAGAAAGAAGAAGAACAAGGGGUUAACAAUGAACAAAAAGCGGUUGAAGGUAAAAUGUGAAAACUAUGAGUUUGGGUAAUUGUCGAGGGUUAAGGGUCAUAGGUCGAGGGUCGAAAGUCGAGUCGAGGAUCAAAAGUCGAGGUCGAGGGUCGAAAGUCAAGAGUCGAAAGUCGAAAAUACUAAAUUUUUAUCCAUUUUAAAAGUUUUACCACCAUUCUGAAAGCUUCC